GAAAUUUAUUUUGAAAUAUCUAAUGCAAUAAUUAUUAAUCGUUACUAAAAAUAUAUAUUAAAGACGGUUGGACUAAAGCAAAGGGGGCGUAUGAAAAAAGACAGAAAAUAUAUGACCAAAAGUGAAAAAUAUAUCGGAUUAAUAAGGCCGCCGUGUGUGAAAAGUGCCAAAAAUACUAAUAAUAAUACAUAAAGAUUCAAAGUCACAAAUAAUCUACCUACUUAAUAGCAGCAAAUUUUAGUGCUCCUUGCCGUUAAUCGCCCACUACUGAGCAUCAUAGGGAGGCCCCCUUCGUGUACGCCACUUAUCCCGGUCCUGAGCUAGUCUCAUCCAGAAGUGCCCCGCAGUUUUUCGAAUGUCGUCUACCCAACGAGCCAACGGAUGCCAAGCAGUUUUUUUACAUCGGAAGGCGACCACCAUUCUGUCAACAUUUUGUUCCACCUGCCAUCACUCUGCCUGACAACAUUUCCCGCCAUUUCAAUUUCGAAAUGACGUCACCCACGUCUCGCACCUUGGUGCGGCGUCGGAUCUCGACAUUCUUCACUGGAUCUUAAAGCUUAAUGCCGAGCAUGGUGCAAUUUAUGGCUCU